AUGCCCGUUUCUUUAUAAUAUUAUAUAAUACUAGUAUCUCACUCUGAUGUAAUCUUAACUACCAGUGCUCCAUUUUAACUCCUAGGUCUCAACAACAGCACGCGCGCACAACUCCCAAGCCAAACCCACCGCCAUGUCAACGACCACCACCACCACCACCGAACCACCAUCAACACCACCGCAAAUCCUAAUACCCUCCCUCCCAAACGACAUCGCCUUAAACAUCUUAGCCCGCAUCCCAAGGUCAUAUCACCCACGACUUACCCUCGUCUCCAAACCUUUCCGUUCCAUCCUUUCCUCUCCUCUACUCUACACAACUCGCUCCCUCCUCAAUACCUCUCAACACUUUCUCUACCUUUCUCUCCGCAUCCCCACCACAACUUCCCUGCAGUGGUUCACGCUCUAUCCAGACCACACAAAGAAUUCCUUAAUUCCACUCACUCCCGCACCUUCCCCUCUCGUGGGCUCCGCUUUCGCCGCUGUGGGACCCAAGAUUUAUGUCAUCGGUGGCUCGAUCAAUGACAUCCCGUCCCCCCACGUGUGGGCACUGGACUGCCGGUCCCACACGUGGGAGGCUGUCCCUAGCAUGAGAAUUUCGCGUGAGUUUGCUGCUGCUGGGGUUGUGGAUGGGAGAAUUUAUGUGAUUGGCGGUUGCGUGGUGGACACGUGGGCGAAGUCGAGGAAUUGGGCGGAGGUUUUUGAUCCGAAAACGGAGAGGUGGAAUUCUGUUGAUAGUGGAAAGGAUGAUUUGUUACGCGAAAAAUGGAUGCACGGAAGUGCUGUAGUGAACGAGAGAAUUUAUGUGAUGGCGGAUAGGAAUGGGGUUGUUUAUGAGCCGAAAACGAAGAAAUGGGAGAGUGUGGAGAGUGAAUUGGAUUUAGGGUGGAGAGGGAGAGCAUGUGUGGUUAAUGGGAUCUUGUAUUGUUAUGAUUAUGUGGGAAACAUUAGGGGUUUUGAUGUGAGGAAUGGGGCUUGGAAGGAGCUGAGGGGGGUUGAAAAGGAGUUGCCGAGGUUUUUGUGUGGUGCCACAAUGGCGAAUGUAGGUGGGAAGUUGGUGGUGGUUUGGGAAAGAAAAGGGAAUGUGAAGGAAAUGGAGGUUUGGUGUGCGGAAAUUGAGGUGGAGGAGAAUGGAGAGGGGGAGUUGCGGGGGAGGGUUGAGUGGUGUGAUGUUGUUCAUAAGGUUCCCAUUGGGUCGUCUAUUGUUCAUUGCUUGGCUGUUUCGAUGUGAGGAUCUAUCGCAGCGCACCAAUGCAGCGCAUUGAGCACACAAAUUAUGCUUGUUUAUUAAUCAUACUCAGAGUACUGGUCCCUGAGGCUUAAAACUUUUUACCUGAGAUUUGGACAGCUAGCCAUAUGGAAAGAUUGAAUGGAUGUCAGGUUUAACUUCGAGGUUUUGUUAUGGACAGUAAUGGGUAUGGAGGCUGUAGAUCUGAUGGGGUUCCUGUCUUGCUUCUUUGAUGGAAUAGAAAUAGUGUAGCUUUUGGCAAACGAGUUCUGUCAGCACAAGAAAUUGAUUCAAAAGCUUUAGCAUAUCUGAAGGGUUUCCUUGAAGCUUAUGCUUUUCGAGAACCUACCAUCCGCUCCUAUUCUUGGGUUUAUGAAGAUUAAUGAUGGUGGGACGUGGGAUGGAGACAGCGGAACUGCCGGAUAUGGUAUUUUCUUUCAUGGAAAAAGCGAGUUUCUGGCUGGUUUUUGAAAGAAAGAUCAUCUUCCUUAAAACAUCGACUAAGAAGAUAUUACUGUUUUCGUCAAUAUCGACUACCAGAUCAAACCGGGGGCAGCAAUUUGGAAUUGGAGGCCAAGCUUGUCGCUAGCUUAUUCUGCAUGCAAGUUUCUUUGGAAGUGCUCUCUUCUUGCAAGUGCUACGACCCUAAUCCGUACUGAUCGAGUAAGCUAUUUCUUACAUGAAAUACAUUUAACAUGCACUUUUAAAGAGCAGUAAUAAGAUAGUUAUUCCCUGGUGUGUUGAAACAAUAUAUGUACAACAUCAGUAAGGUUCUCAUUUUUUGUUUUGGAACACAAGUGCUGCUGAAGUGCUGUAUCUUUUGCAGAAUUAUGCGUAUCCUGCUACUCAUUACAUUCA